UGCAUCGGCCUGGAAUCGAACCCGGGCCGCCCACGUGGCAGGCGAGCAUUCUACCACUGAACCACCGAUGG
rnacentral:tRNA from 1 species